ACUGAAGAUGCCAAGAUGAAAAUCAAUUUUUUUCCCGCAAGCA
rnacentral:tRNA from 1 species